CCUACGGGGGGCAGCAGUGAGGAAUAUUGGUCAAUGGACGAGAGUCUGAACCAGCCAAGUAGCGUGAAGGAUGAAUGCCCUAUGGGUUGUAAACUUCUUUUAUAAAGGAAUAAAACGAGGCACGUGUGCCUUUAUGCAUGUACUUUAUGAAUAAGGAUCGGCUAACUCCGUGUAAGCAGCCGCGGUAAUACGGAGGAUCCGAGCGUUAUCCGGAUGUAGUGGGGUUAAAGGGAGCGUAGAUGGUUUGUUAAGUCAGUUGUGAAAGUUUGCAGCGCAACCGGAAAAUUGCAGUUGAUACUGGAAGUCUUGAUUACAGUAGAGGUAGGCGGAAUUCGUGGUGUAGCGGUGAAAUGCUUAGAUAUCACGAAGAACCCCGAUUGCGAAGGCAGCUUACUAAACUGUGACUGACAUUGAUGCUCGAAAGUGUGGGUAUCAAACAGGAUUAGAUACCCUUGUAGUC
rnacentral:rRNA from 1 species